CCUACGGGAGGCAGCAGUGGGGAAUAUUGGACAAUGGGGGAAAGCCUGAUCCAGCCAUGCCGCGUGAGUGAUGAAGGCCUUAGGGUUGUAAAGCUCUUUCGUGAGGGAAGAUAAUGACGGUACCUCUAGAAGAAGC
rnacentral:rRNA from 1 species